rnacentral:rRNA from 1 species
UACGGAGGGGGCUAGCGUUGUUCGGAAUUACUGGGCGUAAAGCGCAUGUAGGCGGAUUGUUAAGUCAGGGGUGAAAGCCCGAGGCUCAACCUCGGAAUUGCCUUUGAUACUGGCAACCUUGAGUGCGGGAGAGGUGAGUGGAAUUCCCAGUGUAGAGGUGAAAUUCGUAGAUAUUGGGAAGAACACCAGUGGCGAAGGCGGCUCACUGGCCCGUAACUGACGCUGAGAUGCGAAAGCGUGGGGAGCAAACAGG